UCCUACGGGGGGCAGCAGUAGGGAAUCUUCGGCAAUGGACGAAAGCCUGACGCAGCGACGCCGCGUGAGGGAUGAAGGUCUUCGGAUCGUAAACCUCUGUCAGCAGGGAAGAACGGUCACUGUGCUAAUCAGCAGUGAAUUGACGGUACCUGCAAAGGAAGCACCGGCUAACUCCGUGCCAGCAGCCGCGGUAAUACGGAGGGUGCGAGCGUUAAUCGGAAUUACUGGGCGUAAAGCGCUCGUAGGCGGUAUGUCAAGUCAAGGGUGAAAUCCCCGCGCUCAACGUGGGAACUGCCUUUGAAACU
rnacentral:rRNA from 1 species